UGCUCCAAGGCCUCCAAGCAAGCUCCUUCUCCUCUUCUUCUCCUUCUUCUCCUUCCCUUUCUCUCUCUAGAAGUGUAGGAAGAGUGUGAGGGAGAAAAAAUGAGAGUGAGAGGGGAGGAGAGGCUGCCUAAAGCCUCUAAGGUAACAAAAUCCACUUAGGCCCCUCAAAAACUCAAAUUUGCAUCAGCCCGGUCUGGGCAGUUUUCGCCCAGAGGGACCGGUCUCCCCGACCUGGGACCGGUCUCUCAGCCUGCCCCAGAAAAUC
rnacentral:lncRNA from 1 species